AAAGAAUUAGUUAAAGUAAUAUAACAUUAAAAUGUCAUUUUAAAAUUAUUAAAUAUUUAAUAUUUUUUA
rnacentral:tRNA from 1 species